UGCAAGUCGAGCGGUAAGGCCCUUCGGGGUACACGAGCGGCGAACGGGUGAGUAACACGUGGGUGAUCUGCCUCGCACUUCGGGAUAAGCCUGGGAAACUGGGUCUAAUACCGGAUAUGACCUGCUGUCGCAUGGCGGUGGGUGGAAAGAUUUAUCGGUGCGAGAUGGGCCCGCGGCCUAUCAGCUUGUUGGUGGGGUAAUGGCCUACCAAGGCGACGACGGGUAGCCGGCCUGAGAGGGCGACCGGCCACACUGGGACUGAGACACGGCCCAGACUCCUACGGGAGGCAGCAGUGGGGAAUAUUGCACAAUGGGCGAAAGCCUGAUGCAGCGACGCCGCGUGAGGGAUGACGGCCUUCGGGUUGUAAACCUCUUUCGACAGGGACGAAGCGCAAGUGACGGUACCUGUAGAAGAAGCACCCGGCCAACUACGUGCCAGCAGCCGCGGUAAUACGUAGGGUGCGAGCGUUGUCCGGAAUUACUGGGCGUAAAGAGCUUGUAGGCGGUUUGUCGCGUCGUCCGUGAAAACUUGGGGCUCAACCCCAAGCUUGCGGGCGAUACGGGCAGACUUGAGUACUGCAGGGGAGACUGGAAUUCCUGGUGUAGCGGUGAAAUGCGCAGAUAUCAGGAGGAACACCGGUGGCGAAGGCGGGUCUCUGGGCAGUAACUGACGCUGAGAAGCGAAAGCGUGGGUAGCGAACAGGAUUAGAUACCCUGGUAGUCCACGCCGUAAACGGUGGGCGCUAGGUGUGGGUUUCCUUCCACGGGAUCCGUGCCGUAGCUAACGCAUUAAGCGCCCCGCCUGGGGAGUACGGCCGCAAGGCUAAAACUCAAAGGAAUUGACGGGGGCCCGCACAAGCGGCGGAGCAUGUGGAUUAAUUCGAUGCAACGCGAAGAACCUUACCUGGGUUUGACAUACACCGGAAACCUGCAGAGAUGUAGGCCCCCUUGUGGUCGGUGUACAGGUGGUGCAUGGCUGUCGUCAGCUCGUGUCGUGAGAUGUUGGGUUAAGUCCCGCAACGAGCGCAACCCUUGUCCUGUGUUGCCAGCGGAUUAUGCCGGGGACUCGCAGGAGACUGCCGGGGUCAACUCGGAGGAAGGUGGGGACGACGUCAAGUCAUCAUGCCCCUUAUGUCCAGGGCUUCACACAUGCUACAAUGGCCGGUACAGAGGGCUGCGAUACCGUGAGGUGGAGCGAAUCCCUUAAAGCCGGUCUCAGUUCGGAUCGGGGUCUGCAACUCGACCCCGUGAAGUUGGAGUCGCUAGUAAUCGCAGAUCAGCAACGCUGCGGUGAAUACGUUCCCGGGCCUUGUACACACCGCCCGUCACGUCAUGAAAGUCGGUAACACCCGAAGCCGGUGGCCUAACCCCU
rnacentral:rRNA from 1 species